rnacentral:rRNA from 1 species
GACGAAGGUGGCGAGCGUUGUUCGGAAUCACUGGGCAUAAAGCGCACGUAGGCGGCGGCGUAAGUUGGAUGUGAAAUCCCCCGGCCCAACCGGGGAACUGCGUCCAGUACUGCGUUGCUUGAGGAUCCAAGGGUGCAUGGAAUUCCCGGUGGAGCGGUGAAAUGCGUUGAUAUCGGGAGGAACUCCGGCGGCGAAAGCGGUGCACUGGUGGAUUACUGACGCUGAGGUGCGAAAGCCAGGGGAGCCAAAGCGGG